GAGUUUGAUCUUGGCUCAGAUUGAACGCUGGCGGCAGGCCUAACACAUGCAAGUCGGGCGGUAGAGAGAAGCUUGCUUCUCUUGAGAGCGGGCGGACGGGUGAGUAAUGCCUAGGAAUCUGCCUGGUAGUGGGGGAUAACGCUCGGAAACGGACGCUAAUACCGCAUACGUCCUACGGGAGAAAGCAGGGGACCUUCGGGCCUUGCGCUAUCAGAUGAGCCUAGGUCGGAUUAGCUAGUUGGUGAGGUAAUGGCUCACCAAGGCGACGAUCCGUAACUGGUCUGAGAGGAUGAUCAGUCACACUGGAACUGAGACACGGUCCAGACUCCUACGGGAGGCAGCAGUGGGGAAUAUUGGACAAUGGGCGAAAGCCUGAUCCAGCCAUGCCGCGUGUGUGAAGAAGGUCUUCGGAUUGUAAAGCACUUUAAGUUGGGAGGAAGGGCAGUAAAUUAAUACUUUAGCUGUUUUGACGUUACCGUACAGAAUAAGCACCGGCUAACUCUGUGCCAGCCGCCGACCGG
rnacentral:rRNA from 1 species